AACCUGGGGCUCCUGAAGAUCCGGUGAACCGGAAAGGUGCAGUGUUCAAAGUGGAAGGGGGCAGGCAGAGAAUGCCAGGCUCUGAGGUGGAUGAAAAUAUGCCUGUGCGUUCUCUCAGAUGGAUGUCUCCUGACAGGGGAGUUUCCUGUGGAGGUCACAGCCAGAGGCUAGCUAGUCUAUUCUGCUAAGCUGCAAGAUUACCAAGCCAGGACUGUGAGAGCGCCUCACCACUUCUCGAAACAACGUUCUGUGAAAUCAAUAGAAAUCAGAAGCGGAGCCUGUAUCUAAAAAGCAUGACAGUAAAGAAUACGAGAAAUGACUCAAAAUACAGCGUGGAGGCAGUGAUCUCCUUUACAUCCAAGUCUCUCUGCUCAGUCUUGGGGUCACCCCACAAGGCAGUGGGGGUGCUACAUGAAACAGGUGCGAACAACGGUGGACAGUUCUUUCCCCACAGGAGACAGGGACCUCAGCCGUGGAUGCCCACCAUGUGAGGAGCAGGUAGAAUAUAUUCAAGCCCAGGAUUUUCAAAAGCAACUGAGUCAAAAUCUCUAUGGAUGGGACCUUGUUGCUUCUCAAGCUAAGAAUCACUAAUUGUUUAUACGAAGAGUAAUUUUAAAUUAUCAUUAGUCCAAGGUAAAGUGAUUUCCUAAUGCAAGAGGCAUUGUAAAAGGGUAUUAAGACAUUCAUUAUUGGGCUAUAGUCUGGGAUAAAAUGAUGGUGUGUGUGUGUGUGUGUGUGUGUGUGUGUGUGUGUGUGUGUUAAUAUAAGCACAUUUGUAUAUAUGUGCACUUGUAGGAGGGAGAUAUAUACAUACACAUGUGUACAUGUAUGUAGAGACCAGAAAUCAGCCCCAACUGUCAUUCCUCAGAUACCAUCCAUCCUGAUUUUUGAGACAAGUCUCUCGCUGGUCUGGAACUCACCCAAAUAGGAUAGUGAGUCGCCAAGAUUUUACCUUCUCUGACUUUCCAGAGCUGGGCUCACAAUCCCACCAUCAAAUUGGACUUUUUUGUUCUGCCUUCUGGAGAGCUCUGCAAGUCCACAUUCUAGUGUGAUUAAAGAAACCCAGCAAUCACCUCAGCUCUGGAGGGCGCAAUGACUUCAGGCAGGACACAAACAGCCUGAGAGCCACACUAUCUGCUGCUCCUCUGCUUCCCCCUGCUUAGCUUAGCAUCUUUGAGUCUGAGGAAAAGAAGGUGGGAGAACUGAGGAAUGUCUCCAUUUCCUUCGCUGUAGUUAAGCUCUGCUGUAGCUUGGGCACUGUCAGCUCCAGGCAGACUCCCAUCUCUGAUGUGAGGCCAGGCCGCUUUGAUUUCGCUUCGUUUGGGAUCUAGCUCAACCUCGUUAUAUGCCAAAUGCCCUCCAGGGUGUCCUACUUCUUUGGAUCUUCUCCUGUGUCAGGGCUCCUGAAACUAUCUUUCUGUCCUUUAGAAGAACCUCACUUCCCCACCCCCACUCUUCCCUAAGAGAGCUCCAAGACCCUUUGGCUUACAGUUUUAAAAUACUAUGCAGAAAAGUAUUUUGUGAUCUUGAGCAAACAUCAUUAAAAUGUGAAUCACUAUGAGAGAAGUUAUGGCAGCCAGGUUCGAAAAUAAAUGGGGCAUGCUCUGAAUUUAACUGAAAGAAAAAAAGAAUUUCACAUCAUCUGAAAAUUAGGCUAGGGAAUAAAUUCUCCUUUCUCCCCUGCCCAGGUUUCUUAGUUCUUUACUUGUUUCC
rnacentral:lncRNA from 1 species